AUUCCAUGAUUAGGGCACUUUCGUAAUAAUUCUUUGUACCUUUCCCAUGCCUCAUACAAUGACUCAUCAUCCAUUUGUUGGAAAGUAGUGAUCUCGUUCCUCAACUU
rnacentral:snoRNA from 1 species